rnacentral:rRNA from 1 species
GGCGGCGUGCUUAACACAUGCAAGUCGAGCGGAAAGGCCCCUUCGGGGGUACUCGAGCGGCGAACGGGUGAGUAACACGUGAGCAACCUGCCCCUGACUCUGGGAUAAGCCCGGGAAACUGGGUCUAAUACCGGAUAUGACCACGGGGUCGCAUGGCCUUGUGGUGGAAAGUUUUUCGGUUGGGGAUGGGCUCGCGGCCUAUCAGCUUGUUGGUGGGGUGAUGGCCUACCAAGGCGACGACGGGUAACCGGCCUGAGAGGGCGACCGGUCACACUGGGACUGAGACACGGCCCAGACUCCUACGGGAGGCAGCAGUGGGGAAUAUUGCGCAAUGGGCGGAAGCCUGACGCAGCGACGCCGCGUGGGGGAUGACGGCCUUCGGGUUGUAAACCUCUUUCAGCAGGGACGAAGCUAACGUGACGGUACCUGCAGAAGAAGCGCCGGCUAACUACGUGCCAGCAGCCGCGGUAAUACGUAGGGCGCAAGCGUUGUCCGGAAUUAUUGGGCGUAAAGAGCUCGUAGGCGGUUUGUCGCGUCUGUCGUGAAAGCCCACGGCUUAACUGUGGGUCUGCGGUGGAUACGGGCAGACUAGAGGCAGGUAGGGGAGAAUGGAAUUCCCGGUGUAGCGGUGAAAUGCGCAGAUAUCGGGAGGAACACCGGUGGCGAAGGCGGUUCUCUGGGCCUGUACUGACGCUGAGGAGCGAAAGCGUGGGGAGCGAACAGGAUUAGAUACCCUGGUAGUCCACGCCGUAAACGUUGGGCGCUAGGUGUGGGGUCCUUCCACGGAUUCCGCGCCGCAGCUAACGCAUUAAGCGCCCCGCCUGGGGAGUACGGCCGC